CCAAUAGCGUAUAUUAAAGUUGUUGUGGUUAAAAAGCUCGUAGUUGAACCUUGGGCCUGGCUGGCCGGUCCGCCUCACCGCGUGUACUGGUCCGGCCGGGCCUUUCCCUCUGUGGAACCCCAUGCCCUUCACUGGGUGUGGCGGGGAAACAGGACUUUUACUUUGAAAAAAUUAGAGUGCUCCAGGCAGGCCUAUGCUCGAAUACAUUAGCAUGGAAUAAUAGAAUAGGACGUGUGGUUCUAUUUUGUUGGUUUCUAGGACCGCCGUAAUGAUUAAUAGGGACAGUGGGGGGCAUCAGUAUUCAAUUGUCAGAGGUGAAAUUCUUGGAUUUAUUGAAGACUAACUACUGCGAAAGCAUUUGCCAAGGAUGUUUUCAUUAAUCAGGAACGAAAGUUAGGGGAUCGAAGACGAUCAGAUACCGUCGUAGUCUUAACCAUAAACUAUGCCGACUAGGGAUCGGACGAUGUUAUUUUUUGACUCGUUCGGCACCUUACG
rnacentral:misc_RNA from 1 species